GCGGUUAAAAAGCUCGUAGUUGGAUUUCUGGUCUGAGCGUUUAGUCCGGCGCUGUGCGUUGUGUACUUGAAUGACUUGGACCUUCCUUGUAGGGAAUAUGUGUGGUCUUAGUUGAUCGUGCAUGGGAACUGCAUCGUUUACUGUGAAAAAAUUAGAGUGUUUAAAGCAGGCAUUUGCUGUGAAUACAUUAGCAUGGAAUAAUAAGAUAGGACUUUGGUACUAUUUUGUUGGUUGGAGGCCAAGGUAAUGAUUAAUAGGGAUAGUUGGGGGUAUUCAUAUUUAAUUGUCAGAGGUGAAAUUCUUGGAUUUAUGAAAGAUGAACUUAUGCGAAAGCAUUUACCAAGGAUGUUUUCAUUAAUCAAGAACGAAAGUUAGGGGAUCGAAGACGAUCAGAUACCGUCCUAGUCUUAACUAUAAACCAUGCCGGCUAGAGAUCGGAGGUUGUUCGUUUUGUGACGCCUUCAGCAUCUUGAGAGAAAUCAAAGCCUUUGGGUUCCGGGGGGAGUAUGGUCGCAAGGCUGAAACUUAAAGGAAUUGACGGAAGGGCACCACCAUGAGUGGAGCCUGCGGCUUAAUUUGACUCAACACGGGGAAACUUGCCAGGUCCAGACUGGGUAAGGAUGUACAGAUUGACAGCUCUUUACAGAUUCUCAGGGUGGUGGUGCAUGGCCGUUCUUAGUUGGUGGAGUGAUUUGUCUGGUUAAAUCCGUUAACGAACGAAACCUUACCUGCUA
rnacentral:rRNA from 1 species